GGGAAACUGCCUGAUGGAGGGGGAUAACUACUGGAAACGGUAGCUAAUACCGCAUAACGUCGCAAGACCAAAGAGGGGGACCUUCGGGCCUCUUGCCAUCAGAUGUGCCCAGAUGGGAUUAGCUAGUAGGUGGGGUAACGGCUCACCUAGGCGACGAUCCCUAGCUGGUCUGAGAGGAUGACCAGCCACACUGGAACUGAGACACGGUCCAGACUCCUACGGGAGGCAGCAGUGGGGAAUAUUGCACAAUGGGCGCAAGCCUGAUGCAGCCAUGCCGCGUGUAUGAAGAAGGCCUUCGGGUUGUAUAGUACUUUCAGCGGGGAGGAAGGCGAUAAGGUUAAUAACCUUGUCGAUUGACGUUACCCGCAGAAGAAGCACCGGCUAACUCCGUGCCAGCAGCCGCGGUAAUACGGAGGGUGCAAGCGUUAAUCGGAAUUACUGGGCGUAAAGCGCACGCAGGCGGUCUGUCAAGUCGGAUGUGAAAUCCCCGGGCUCAACCUGGGAACUGCAUUCGAAACUGGCAGGCUAGAGUCUUGUAGAGGGGGGUAGAAUUCCAGGU
rnacentral:rRNA from 1 species